AGGAUCAUUGCAUUGUAUCGUUUCACUUUUUGAAAACACAGAGCAUGUAACAUUGUAUCAGCCAACUUCUUACUCGGAGACAAGAAUAGCAAGUUUGUGGCUUUCGCUGCAUCUUGCAGGUAUUUUAAGCAUCUAUGCUGAACCUACAUUUCGAACCAAAUUUUUGUAGUAAAUGGUGCGGCUUCAGUUAUAGGAUGGAGGUGACGCUUGCAAUAUGGUGGUCAAUCCCUGUGAAACUUUUGGAGGUGACACUUGCAGAUAUGACUAAAAGUGGAUUGGUAAGUAAGUAAAGUCAUUCUAACUGACCGAUGUGAUGCUAUUAGUUUUAUGAGGGUUUAUUGUCACAUUUGGUUCCUGGACUGGUACUUCCUUUUAGGAGCAAUUGCAGCUGGAGAGGGUAAUUACUGGCUUUCUGUUUGGUGGCUCUGGUUCACUAUGGAACUCUUCAGUCUCGUGGGAACCUGGUAAAAUUUGAAUUUGUGCCUGAGACAGAUACUAAUAUGGUGCUGACUUCACUUUACAAAAACUGCUUGAAGUGAAGGCACAUACUGAAUCUUGUAGAAGCAUGUUCUAGUUGCAGCUUCAUUCUAGUUUCUCCUCUUCGGCUUGUAAAAUUUCCGCAAUAUCACAAGUGAUAUCAUAAUGAUGGGGUCUAGUGACCUCUCUAUCUUGGCGAUCGAUGUUGAAACUAGAACAUCAAUUGCUCGUAUCAGUACCAUUCAUAUACCAUCAAUUCUUCUGUUGGUGUUUCAAAUUUAUUCAGAACUACUGAAAUGGAAUUGUACAUUCUCGUCUGAUCAUCUAAGAAACUAGAGGUCAUUCUAUUGGAAGGUGAAUUAUAAUUGCACUUAUUUCCUUAACCAUUUGAUUAUUUGUCACAAGGAUGCAGUCUUUAGUUUGAUUAACCUCACAGAUUUUCAAGUAUAUAUUGUGACAAGAGAUGAC
rnacentral:lncRNA from 1 species